GUGGUGGCUCAGUGGUAGAGUGCUUGCCUAGCAUGGAUGAGGCACUGGGUUCAAUACCCAGCACCACA
rnacentral:tRNA from 1 species